rnacentral:lncRNA from 1 species
UAAAUUAGAGCAGGAGAAAAGAAGCAGUUUCUUACUAUAAUGCCUUAGAGAAAGCUCAUGUACCAAAUCAAGAUCUCUAGGUGCAGCUGGGCCAGGCCCUUCAGCAAGCCUUGGAUCCCAAUAGUAAGGGCAACUUUUUGUUUGCAGAGUUAGAAGAUGGAAGGGCAGCAAUGGAACGCCAGCCUUAUCAGUACGAAAGUCAAGUAUCAGUCACUAAAGAAAGCAAAAUUCAUUUAAUAGAGAGCAAAUGCAAAGAGUGAAGUUACAGAUUGCUACAGAUGAAAAACCUCAAACUGAAUGUGAGCCGCAGGAACAGUUGUUUGCCAUGCUGGAGCAGAAGAACGAUGAAACAAAACAUCUUUUAGGUGAAAUUAAAAAUCUGGAGAAAUCUAUGAGUUUAUAGGAAAAUAUGGAUUCAAAGCCUUCAGCCCCCCUCUGGUGCUCUGAAAGAUAACACCUAUUAGUACAGCUUUACUU